rnacentral:rRNA from 1 species
GACGAACGCUGGCGGCGUGCUUAACACAUGCAAGUCGAGCGGUAAGGCCCUUUCGGGGGUACGACGAGCGGCGAACGGGUGAGUAACACGUGGGUGACCUGCCCUUAGCUCUGGGAUAAGCCUGGGAAACUGGGUCUAAUACCGGAUAUGACUCCAUGACGCAUGUUGUGGGGUGGAAAGCCUUGUGCGGCUAGGGAUGGGCCCGCGGCCUAUCAGCUUGUUGGUGGGGUGANGGCCUACCAAGGCGACGACGGGUAGCCGGCCUGAGAGGGCGACCGGCCACACUGGGACUGAGACACGGCCCAGACUCCUACGGGAGGCAGCAGUGGGGAAUCUUGCGCAAUGGGCGAAAGCCUGACGCAGCGACGCCGCGUGAGGGAUGACGGCCU